rnacentral:tRNA from 1 species
GGCGCCGUAGCACAGUUGGUUAGCGCGCCUGCCUCCCACCCAGAGGUAAUGGGUUCAAAGCUCGUCGUUGCUA